rnacentral:lncRNA from 1 species
GUGAAAUGGAAAAAACAAUGCAAUCGCUGAUUAACUAUGGGUGUUCAUAUCUGAUUUCUGAUCAAUUUAAUAUGGUUCUCACUUCACAAAGCAAGUUCUAAAUUCAAUCUGGAAAACAUAUAGAAAGCAUUUGCUAUGGGCCAGCAUCCUUAGCAAAGGUUUCACAUCUAUUGUUCUAUCCAAUUCUCUCAUCCACAUUACAUGGUAGUUGACAGUAUAUCUGAAGAAAUAGAGGCUCAAAAACAUCCUGGGACUGGCCUAGUCAUGUGAAGCAACGUUGGGAUUUAAAUUCAGGUGUUCUGCCUCCAACUCCUUUGCUGAUUCUGUAACAUAAUGGUUAUACUGUAGGGUGGGUACCUUGAGCAUAUACAUAUGCAGAUCCAAUUUGACUUUUUAUCCAGAGCAGACAUCAUCAUCUGCUGCAAUUAAAAUGGUGAGAAAUCUACUUAGUGAAAAAUCAGUUUGGACUUUUUGCGGAGAAAAGUUUAACAUUUUUCCUUUUUGUGGAAAUCCAGUGGCUUAUUGGACAUCCAGGACUGGCAGCUGGAAAUGAACAUUAAUGUGCAAGAUGACCAUGGAGCACAUGGGACCUCUCUCUUUCCUGCUAUGACUUGGCUAAAGGAGUGAGGACCCUCAGGCCUGCUCUUCAUGCCUGUUAAGGGCCAACUAACAUCCUCUCAUGUGUCCUCCAGAGGUUCUAGUUUAUUGUGAGGUCCCCUGGGAAGACAAAACACUGAUAAUGUGGUCUGUGUCUUGGUUUAAGGAAGUGAUCUUACUGAUCCACUUUCUGUCUGCUCUAACACAUUAGGGUAGACCAGGCUGGUUUUUAAGUAAAUCAAUUUUAUUUAAGCAUUUUUUUUUUAUGGUGGGUGGAUAUCUUUGAAAACAAUUUCUUCAAGGAACUGAAUCACAGAGGCCUCUUGUAUAUGAAUGAUGCUUCUCUGUUGCUUAAGGGAUGUGAAGAGAAGCUCUGCUUUAAUUUUCCUAUUUUACCUGCCCACGGUAGUCUCUCCCUUUUUUGCAUUUCUCACAUUUUACCUCUUUUUCCAGACAUGGCUUAAAGCUCACUCUGUGAGGUACCUGGUCUCCUCCACCUAGAAAUGAUAUAUAUUCCUUUCUAAACUCCUAGGGCCUCC